UUACAAAAUAACGUAAAAUGCUUAGGGCGUAUAAUAGCGCGCCACUUUAAUAAUUCAAAACAAGAUCACAGAAGAAAGACUGGAAAGAGUUAUGCCAACAUGCAGAUAAUGGUUAUCUCUACGUAGUAAAUUAAAGGGUGUUCUUGGGCAGCCCGGGUGGCUCAGCGGUUUAGCGUCGCCUUCAGCCCAGGGCCUGAUCCUGGGAAUCCAGGAUCGAGUCCCACGUAGGCCUCCCUGCAUGGAGCCUGCUUCUCCCUCUGCCUGUGUCUCUGUGUCUCUCACAAAUAAGUAAAUUUUAAAAAUCUUUAAAAAAUAAUAGAAAUAAAAAAUAAAGGAUAUUCUUAUGUCUUUUCUCUCUUGAGAAUCUCUAAGAUAGCCAGUCAUUUUCUAAUCAGCAAAUACCAUAUAUUUUAAUCUUUUUUUUUUUUAAUAGGACAGUCUCAAAGCUGGUAGCAUUGGUCUCCAAAAAGAACACAUUGAUGCUGAGAAGACCAAAAACUUUUCUAAGCUGACUCCCAGGUGGAGGAAGUCAGGUUGUGGGCUCUCUUCAUCCCACCAGGAGCCAACAUUUGUUGAUCACAGAUGAAUCCAUGCAACCCACCCAGAGUGAUGCUUUGAUUCUCUUCAGCAAAGACUGGGCCGAGAAAAAAAUAAAAAGUCCCGGUAGCAAUUCGGUGGGCCUAAGCACAUGCACUGAGAAGAGAGUCAAAAAGGAAGAUUUUCACAACGAAUUAUCAUUCAAGUCCUCUCAGACCUGUAGUCUCGUAUAUGGCUACAGGAGGUGGCCCUAGAUUUCUUAUAAACCCUUCCAAAAGCUUCUAUGAAAUUAUCCUACUUUUCUCUCCUCUGGGACAGAAAGCAUCUUUACCACGUUGCCCCAGGCCUGGUCUUGCCAUCUCAUUCAACACCAAGGCUUUGUCAAAAGAGAGGUCAGUAGCCUCUUGGAAUCUUUUGGAGAUAGGUAGAGCCUGGUAAUCGUUUCCCACAAUGGGGUUAUCUGCUAUCUGCCAGGGUUGUUUUCCUGAAUGAUAUCUGAUCAAACUCCACUGCAAAAAGUACCCAAGGGGGUCUUCCCAGCUCUGUCUUCUUCCUCUGCUUUCUAUCAAUCAACUCGAGACAAGCUAAU
rnacentral:lncRNA from 1 species